UACGGGGGGGGCAAGCGUUGUCCGGAAUUACUGGGCGUAAAGCGCACGUAGGCGGCUUCUUAAGUCGGGGGUGAAAUCCUGGAGCUCAACUCCAGAACUGCCUUUGAUACUGGGAAGCUCGAGUCCGGGAGAGGUGAGUGGAACUGCGAGUGUAGAGGUGAAAUUCGUAGAUAUUCGCAAGAACACCAGUGGCGAAGGCGGCUCACUGGCCCGGUACUGACGCUGAGGUGCGAAAGCGUGGGGAGCAAACAGG
rnacentral:rRNA from 1 species